ACUCAUGGAAACAUGACUCCUGGAUAUCAUUUGCUUUUUUCAGGCUGGUCUUGUGACAACUCUCAGUACUAGGACAAUUGUCUUUGGUGCAACAAAUCCCAAGGGACAGUAUGAUCCCAAUCAACAGUUCUGCCCUACAGAAAACCAGAGACAGGCUUUGUUACUGUGACCUCCCUAAAUAUAUGGACCUUCCAGCUCAGUAUUCCCCUUCUAACUCAGCAUUCUUACCUUUUUUCGGUUGGCAAAUUUGAUUAGAACAGCGGCCAUGAACUAUUUAUUGGAUUCAGGAGUUCAAUUGGGGGGAGCACCUGCAGUCAAGGUGAUAAAUUAAUUAUCGGUUCUUUUCUUCUUUGAACGCCUUCUCUGGUGCACACUCUUUUAUCUCAACAAUUAGUCAAAUUGCUAAUACUUUGCAGGGUGUGCGAGAUGCUGCUGUAGAGUUACUGCAUACACUAGUAGCUGUGCAUGCAGAGGUGCCUUACAUCACUAAUGCUUUGAUGGAUGCGAAGCUUGGCACGGAAGGGCGCAAGGAUCUUUUUGAUUGGCUAUCAAGGCAACUUAGUGGAUUAAGCAAUUUUCCUGAUGCUAUAAAUCUGAAUUAUGUAUUGUUUCAAUUUGUUGUGCUAGAUGUAUGUGACUUGUGAAUGAAAACUUAGAAUAGUUGUAUUGUGUCGAAUGUUAAUGAUUCAGUUAAUUUGAAUGAUGCUUUAAAAUUA